rnacentral:lncRNA from 1 species
ACCAAAGGAGUCGAAAGUUUCAAAGACCAAAAAGGAGGAAGGUAGUUCUAAAAAGACCAGGGAUCCGCAAAGUAGUUCUAAAAAAAUUAAAGAUCUGCCUGAUGAAGAAGUAGAUGUCCCCAAUUAUAAAUCUGAAUCUGACAACGAUGAUGUAACAAUUGAUUUAAAUAAAAAAAUAUCAUGAAAUUCCCAUCGAUAAAAAAAAUCAUAAUUAAAUUAUGUUUGCAGGAUUAUGAUAGCGGUGACGAUGAUGAUUAUGACGAUAGUGAAGAAUAUCAAGAAUCUCUUCGUGACACGGCACCUGAAUACAAGCGUAUAAUAGCUAUUACAGCUGGGAAACCGAAGGGUGGAUUAAAAGAAGCCUUAAGCAUUGAUCCUAAGAACGUUAGGCGACUUAGUUUAAGUGAAAAAGAGCUUCUAAAUGCUUCUGAACAUCAUGGCACUGAUAUUGUAAGGUAUUAUCACGAUUAUUGUCUCCAUUUUUUCCUUAGUGAUAUGACUAUUAAAUCUUUAUUUUUUUCAUGAUUUUCUUCUUCAUUCUUGAUUUUAUAUUGAUUUUUUUAUAUUCAAAAACAUUUGUAGAUUUACUCAGAAGAAUAUUAUGAGAGUAUAUCCGAAAGGUACUCGUAUCGAUUCAUCUAAUUACAAUCCAUUCAUUGGCUGGAUGCAUGGCGCGCAAAUGGUAGCAUUCAAUAUGCAGGUUAGAACAUUGAAUCUAUUUGUCCUUUAAUUUUUCUACUUUUCAAUCAACUAAUUGACUAUUUUGGGUUAACCAGGGAUAUGGAAAACAUCUUUGGAUCAUGCAAGGGUUCUUUAGGGCAAAUGGCGGUUGCGGGUAUGUCAAAAAACCAAACUUUCUGAUGGAUGUCGACUCAGAUAACAGAGUAUUUGACCCACAGUCAAUUCAAACUACAAAGAAAACACUCCUAAAGGUGAUACAUAUCAAAUGGUGGUAUUAUCUUCUUUAUUUUUAUUAUUUACUUAUACUAAAUGUGAAUAUUUAUUAGGUCAAAGUGUAUAUGGGUGAUGGAUGGCAAUUCGAUUUUUCAAAGAAGCAUUUUGAUAAAUUUUCUCCACCAGAUUUCUAUACAAGGGUAUGAUCCAUAAUGUUGAAUUUUGUUUUUUAUACAAGAGUGAUGAUUGAUGUUGUUUUUGCUCUAUUUUUCACUGUCUGGUUGACAUUUUUUAUGGGCAAUUGUCCUCUGGCAUAAAAUAUAACAUAUUCCUUCUAGAGAUAUUCAGAUACCUAUAUAGUAGGUGGUAUAUGUCAUCUAAUAUGUCAAUCACUAAUUUUACACCUAUUUCAUUCUCUGGUCGAUUUUAUGUGAGCAAAUUUGAGUGAGGGUUAGCACAAUGGGUCUCAUGGGAUGUUAAGGUUCAUAAGUCACGCAUAUGGUCAGAAGUUUGAGUCAUUACGUGUGAUUAUCCACUUUCAAAUACCUAGUAAUAAGUGAGUAAUUUAAAAAAAAUGUAGUCAUGGUGUUAUAAGGGAUGACUUUUUUGUAUAUUGAUUUUUACCUUUUACAAAAUACAUGAUUCUUUUUGUAGGUUGGAAUAGCAGGAGUUCCUGAAGAUGAAAUUAUGAAGAAAACAACGACAAAGAAGGAUAGUUGGAAGCCGAUUUGGAACGAAGAAUUUAAUUUUUCAUUAGUUGUACCUGAACUUGCAGUAGUCCGUAUUGAAGUCCGUGAUUAUGAUGUGACUAGUAAAGAUGAUUUCGCUGGGCAAACAUGCUUACCGUUUUCGUUAUUACGACC